rnacentral:lncRNA from 1 species
UCCGCUGCUCCGCCGCGAAUUUUCGUUGUCCAAAACGCCAAUGAUAAGAAUAAGAAUAUUCGCUCUACAAAAAGUUUAAAAAUAAAUAGAUGUAACUCUUACUGUUCUGAAUUUUUUUUAUGACUAUUUGGUUACCCACAAAAACUAAAAUGAUUACCUUUGUAUGAAUGGUUGACUACCAACUGCAUCACAUUCAAACUAAAUUGGUAACUUCAUAAAACUGAAUUAGUUACCUUAGUAUGAAGGUUUGGCUACCCACUGCAUCACAUUUAAAAUAAAUUGGUAACCUAAUAACACUGAUUUGGUUACCUUGGUAUGAAUAUUUGGCUACCAACUGCACUACGAAAAGACUGUAUGUGUGGAUAUGGAUUGAUUACCUUGGUAUGAAGGUUUGGUUAUCUUGGUGUGAAGGUUUGGUUACCAACUACACUAUGAAAAAACUGAAGGUAUGGAGGUGGAUUGGUUACCUUGGUAUGACGGUUUGGUUACCUCGGUAUGAAUGUUUAGUUACUAACUGUACUAUGAAAAAACUACAAGUGUGUAGGUGGAUUGGUAACCUUGGUAUGAAGGUUUGGUAACCUUGGUAUGAAGGUUUGGUUACCAAUCUCUUCUAUCAGUUGCUGAUUUUGGAUCAAACCCAAUAAUUCUAUCCUUCUAUAUCUCUGUUUCUCUCUUAUUUUCUGGUUAAACUUCAACAAAGGUUUGACACACUUACAUCGACGUCAGAAGGAAGAAUCUUCAUUAUUCCCCCAGCAUAGUCUUGCGAAUUAUAUAUAUCAGAAUUCACCCCAUGACCAUCUUGUGACAGUGGCCCACUCUCUAGCCCACUGUUCCCCACCAUGGUUGCCUUUGUUGCUGAAUUUUCAUUAGAGCCGGAACUUGAACACCAUUCAUCUCGUCAAAACAUUCAUCUCGGUGAUGGUUGCACACCAUUCAUCUCGUCAAACUUCUCCUCAAAUUGA